GACGAACGCUGGCGGCGUGCUUAACACAUGCAAGUCGAACGAGUGGCGAACGGGUGAGUAAUACGUGAGUAACCAGCCCUCUUUUCGGGAUAAGCCUUGGAAACGGGGUCUAAUACCGAAUAAAGGGGGAUGGGCUCGCGUCCUGUCAGCUUGUGGGUGGGGUGAUGUCGUACCAGGGCGGUGACGGGUAGCCGGCAUGGGAGGGUGACCGGCGACAUUGGAACUGCGCCACGGCGCGGCUUCCUACGGAAGGCAGCAGUAGGGGAUAUUGCACGAUGGGCGUGAGCCGGAUGCGGAGACGCCGCGUGGGGGAUGGAUGCUUUGGGGUUGUAAACGUCUAUGGCUAUCGAACGGUUAGAUGGAGCAGAAGCGCCGGCUAACUACGUGCCAGCAGCCGCGGUAAUAC
rnacentral:rRNA from 1 species